UACGGAGGAUCCAAGCGUUAUCCGGAUUUAUUGGGUUUAAAGGGUGCGUAGGCGGUUUUAUAAGUUAGAGGUGAAAAUUCGGGGCUCAACUCCGGACGUGCCUCUAAUACUGUAUGACUAGAGAAUAGAUGCGGUAGGCGGAAUGUAUGGUGUAGCGGUGAAAUGCGUAGAGAUCAUACAGAACACCGAUUGCGAAGGCAGCUUACCAAACUAUGUCUGACGUUGAGGCACGAAAGCGUGGGGAGCAAACAGG
rnacentral:rRNA from 1 species